AGUGACUGACCAAACACACAGGGUUUAAAUACACUGGUGGUAAUUAAGGAAAAUUAGACACAGGUGUGGAGAACAUUCAGGAAUGGGGCGUGGUCAGAUGAAUCAAAGAUGAGGGAAGACAGGAGGCAAGAGAGUGCAGUUAGACA